AAGGUGAGCAUUGUGCACAGAUUGUUACUCCGGCUGCACGAAUUAUUGUUUUCUGUAAAUUACAUUAUGGCUCUGUUUAUUGAUGUGGACUGUAGGAGGGGUUUGCCACAAUUACAUUUGUUUCGGCCAUUUCAUCUUGUUUGAUAAGACCUAUCUGACAGACCUUCACAACAUGCCUUUCGGCCUUUUUGUCAGGGUGAACAAUCAUUCCCAGGGCACAAUCUUCAGUGGUGUGGUGAUGAGCAAUGAGAAGAUCAGGCCACGUAUUGUAUUGUUUUUCCUUGGUGCAAGUAGCUAACCUGUACUUCAAACCACACGGGUGAUGGUGCAUGUCCGUCUAACACAAAUACCACCAAAGCACAUUAUAAAAUGCUGGACACGAGAUGCAGGGGAUAUUUUGCCUCGCUGGGUUGUUGCGGUACCAAAAGGACAGUGGCAAACCAAAAGCAAUAACAUACAUGCAUUCUAGGUUGUACAAGCAAGACUGAGCAUUGUGCAAUUGGGUGACACAAACGUCGAGAGUUGCAGCGUAGCAAUGAAGAAAGUUCUUGUGAUUGUGCCGACAAUCAAGACAACCAGCAAAGGUCAGGGAUGGGACGGGCUUGGAGGACGGAGAUAGAGAGCCGCACUUUCAGGGCCUCCUGAUGCUACAAUGCCACUGGAUGUUGUGACAGCAAUUGUCACAAGACAUAGAAAGGCCUGAUCCAGUUGGGUUUCAAGAUCUAGCCAAGAAGAGGACAGUGCGUAGGCUGACUAUAGGCCGUGACAAGCCUCCGUUUGAGCAGCCAAAAGGUCAAGGUUAUGUUCUACUCCCUCCGUUCCUAAAUAUAAGUCUUUGUAGAGAUUCCACUAUGAACCACAUACGGAUGUAUCUAGAAUUCUAGAUGCAUUUUAAGUGUAGAUUCAUUCAAUUUGCUCCGUAUGUAGUCCAUCUAGUGAAAUCACUAGAAAGACUUAUAUUUCGGAACGGAGGGAGUAUACAACGUGCCCAGACAGGGGAAAUGCUCCAAGGAAAUCUCUGCAGUACUUGUUUUGUGGAUUGACAUGUCAUACAAAGAAUAGCUGUGAAAAACUGUUGGUGGAGAAUGAGGAGUUGAGGAUCGGAGGUGGCUUUUCCACUUCUGAAACAUCAAACUGUUGGUUUAUGUGUUAUGUUUGCAGUCGCUGUUUGCACGCAAAAUGCUGUCAACUUGGCUGCGGUUUCCCGUAUUUCCAUAGAAGCGUAACAGAACUUGCACCUAGUGUAUGAUGUGUGUUGAUAGAACCGAGCUAUGCUCUUGUUUGAGCUUGAUACUUUUAUUUUGGAGAAAAGGAGCGCCAGGCUCCUAAUCUCAUUUUCAUGAAACUGAUAACACAAACAGGUGUUGAGUGAAGAGGUUGUUACAUUUGGCUCUGA